rnacentral:sRNA from 1 species
UAAACACAAAUACAUAAUCAUUUAGAUUUAGACAUAAUUGUACCAAUUGUCCUAUAUUAUGUCUCAUUAAUACCAUUUAUACCACCUGUCCUAUUUUAUCUUAAUAAAACAUUUGUACCACCUGUACUAUUAUGUCUCAGUUUUACCAUUUGUCCCAGUUCGUCUAUCCUGGGUUUCUCAAAUCGUGAAAUUCGAUUGAACACUGAAAUCUCCGAUUCAAAACGAUACAACAGCCCAUAAUGAACAAUACAACAAUUUUAUGUUAUUAACAAAUAACUCAAACAAGAAAUUCACAUUAAUCUACAAAUCAAAAGGAGAUCGGAUUUACUUUUGCCGGUGAGGAGGAAGCUAACUUUGAGAGCAGAUUAUCGGAUUGGAAGCUACGGCGAGCCUAGAAGCUAACUCGCCGGUGAAAUCGGAGCUCAAGUCGCCGGCGAAAUCAGAGCUCAAGUCGCCGACGAAAUCGGAGAAAAUAAGGAACCGGAGAACUCAGAAGAAGGAGACGCGAAGCGAUGGAUAGGAAUUAACCGUU